rnacentral:rRNA from 1 species
AUACCAGCUGGCUGCAACUGUUUAUUAAAAACACAGCACUGUGCAAACACGAAAGUGGACGUAUACGGUGUGACGCCUGCCCGGUGCCGGAAGGUUAAUUGAUGGGGUUAUCCGUAAGGAGAAGCUCUUGAUCGAAGCCCCGGUAAACGGCGGCCGUAACUAUAACGGUCCUAAGGUAGCGAAAUUCCUUGUCGGGUAAGUUCCGACCUGCACGAAUGGCGUAAUGAUGGCCAGGCUGUCUCCACCCGAGACUCAGUGAAAUUGAACUCGCUGUGAAGAUGCAGUGUACCCGCGGCAAGACGGAAAGACCCCGUGAACCUUUACUAUAGCUUGACACUGAACACUGGUCCUUGAUGUGUAGGAUAGGUGGGAGGCUUUGAAGUGUGGACGCCAGUCUGCAUGGAGCCAUCCUUGAAAUACCACCCUUUAAUGGCUGGUGUUCUAACGUGGGCCCCUAAUCGGGGUUGCGGACAGUGUCUGGUGGGUAGUUUGACUGGGGCGGUCUCCUCCUAAAGAGUAACGGAGGAGCACGAAGGUCAGCUAAUCCUGGUCGGACAUCAGGAGGUUAGUGCAAUGGCAUAAGCUGGCUUGACUGCGAGCGUGACGGCGCGAGCAGGUGCGAAAGCAGGUCAUAGUGAUCCGGUGGUUCUGAAUGGAAGGGCCAUCGCUCAACGGAUAAAAGGUACUCCGGGGAUAACAGGCUGAUACCGCCCAAGAGUUCAUAUCGACGGCGGUGUUUGGCACCUCGAUGUCGGCUCAUCACAUCCUGGGGCUGAAGUAGGUCCCAAGGGUAUGGCUGUUCGCCAUUUAAAGUGGUACGCGAGCUGGGUUUAGAACGUCGUGAGACAGUUCGGUCCCUAUCUGCCGUGGGCGCUGGAGAAUUGAGGGGGGCUGCUCCUAGUACGAGAGGACCGGAGUGGACGCAUCACUGGUGUUCGGGUUGUCAUGCCAAUGGCAUUGCCCGGUAGCUAAAUGCGGAAGAGAUAAGUGCUGAAAGCAUCUAAGCACGAAACUUGCC